rnacentral:rRNA from 1 species
GUCUAUUUGAAGGUGUUUAUAGUCUGAUCUGCUCACUGAUAUUAAUUAUUUAAGGGCCGCGGUAAUUUGACCGUGCAAAGGUAGCAUAAUCAUUAGUUUUUUAAUUAAGAACUCGUAUGAAUGAUUGGACGAAAGAAAAGCUGUCUCUAUUGCAAAAAUUGAAUUUAACUUUUAAGUGAAAAGGCUUAAAUAAUCUAGGGGGACGAUAAGACCCUAUAAAGCUUUAUGAGUAAAAGAAAUUUGAUUGAAUUAAACCAUAAGAGUUUAAUUUGUUUACUGCAUUUUGCUGGGGCGGCAUAAAUAUAAUUACUAUAACUGUUUUUAAAAAAGUCAAAUAUAAAUGAAAUUAAUGAACCUUUUUAGAGAUUAGAGAUAAAGUUACUUUAGGGAUAACAGCGUUAUUUCUUUUAAGAGCCCAUAUCGAAAAAGAAGUUUGCGACCUCGAUGUUGAAUUAAAAUGUCUUUAUAGUGCAGCCAUUAUAAGAGAAGGUCUGUUCGACCUUUAAAAUUUUACAUGAUUUGAGUUCAGACCGGCGUGAGCCAGGUCGGUUUCUAUCUCCUAGACAUAUAGAGUUAUUUUAGUACGAAAGGAUUUAAUAGCUAAAAUAUUUUUGAAAUUUGAAAUA